UGCAAGUCGAACGAGGUGCUUGAGUAGCAAUACAAGAGUAUCCUAGUGGCGAACGGGUGAGUAACGCGUUGGUGACCUACCCCAAAGUGUGGGAUAACAGUUCGAAAGAACUGCUAAUACCGCAUGUGGUUAUCGGGUUUAGAAACUGAUAACUAAAGGAGCAAUUCGCUUUGGGAGGGACCUGCGUCCCAUCAGCUAGUUGGUGAGGUAAUGGCUCACCAAGGCUACGACGGGUAGGGGACCUGAGAGGGUGACCCCCCACAAUGGAACUGAAACACGGUCCAUACACCUACGGGUGGCAGCAGUAGGGAAUAUUGCACAAUGGGCGAAAGCCUGAUGCAGCAACGCCGCGUGUGCGAUGAAGGCCUUCGGGUCGUAAAGCACUUUUCUGAGAGAUGAGCAAGGACAGUAUCUCAGGAAUAAGUCUCGGCUAACUACGUGCCAGCAGCCGCGGUAAAACGUAGGAGGCAAGCGUUAUCCGGAUUCACUGGGCGUAAAGCGCGUGCAGGCGGUUCGGUAAGUUGGGUAUGAAAUC
rnacentral:rRNA from 1 species